CUGGCUGGGAACGAGAGGGGGGCUGAUACUGCAGAUAGCGACAAGCAGACCCGGGCGGAGGGGGCGGAGAUC
rnacentral:SRP_RNA from 16 species